rnacentral:rRNA from 1 species
GAUGAACGCUAGCAGCAGGCUUAAUACAUGCAAGUCGAGGGGCAGCAUGAUUGUAGCAAUACAAUUGAUGGCGACCGGCAAACGGGUGCGGAACACGUACACAACCUCCCAAUAAGUGGGGAAUAGCCCAGAGAAAUUUGGAUUAAUACCCCGUAACAUAACGAUGUGGCAUCACAUUGUUAUUAUAGAUUUUUCGCUUAUUGAUGGGUGUGCGGCUGAUUAGAUAGUUGGCGGGGUAACGGCCCACCAAGUCUACGAUCAGUAGCUGAUGUGAGAGCAUGAUCAGCCACACGGGAACUGAGACACGGGCCCGACUCCUACGGGAGGCAGCAGUAAGGAAUAUUGGACAAUGGACGCAAGUCUGAUCCAGCCAUGCCGCGUGAAGGAUUAAGGUCCUCUGGAUUGUAAACUUCUUUUAUAAGGGACGAAAAAAGGUCUUUCUAGAUCGUCUGACGGUACCUUAUGAAUAAGCACCGGCUAACUCCGUGCCAGCAGCCGCCGUAACAC